AACGAACGCUGGCGGCAGGCUUAACACAUGCAAGUCGAACGCCCGCAAGGGGAGUGGCAGACGGGUGAGUAACGCGUGGGAACAUACCCUUUCCUGCGGAAUAGCCCUGGGAAACUGGACUUCAUACCGCAUACGCCCUACGGGGGAAAGAUUUAUCGGGGAAGGAUUGGCCCGCGUUGGAUUAGCUAGUUGGUGGGGUAAAGGCCUACCAAGGCGACGAUCCAUCGUUGGUCUGAGAGGAUGAUCAGCCACAUUGGGACUGAGACACGGCCCAAACUCCUACGGGAGGCAGCAGUGGGGAGUAUUGGACAAUGGGCGCAAGCCUGAUCCAGCCAUGCCGCGUGAGUGAUGAAGGCCUUAGGGUUGUAAAGCUCUUUCACCGGUGAAGAUAAUGACGGUAGUCGGAGAAGAAGCCCCGGCUAACUUCGUGCCAGCCGCCGCCGUAAGAC
rnacentral:rRNA from 1 species